GAAGGGAGCCUUGCCUCCCGGAUGUUAGCGGCGGACGGGUGAAGUAACACGUGGGUAACCCUGCCUGUAAGACUGGGAUAACUCCGGGAAACCGGAGCUAAUACCGGAUAGUUCCUUGAACCGCAUGGUUCAAGGAUGAAAGACGGUUUCGGCUGUCACUUACAGAUGGACCCGCGGCGCAUUAGCUAGUUGGUGAGGUAACGGCUCACCAAGGCGACGAUGCGUAGCCGACCUGAGAGGGUGAUCGGCCACACUGGGACUGAGACACGGCCCAGACUCCUACGGGAGGCAGCAGUGGUCAU
rnacentral:rRNA from 1 species